rnacentral:tRNA from 1 species
GGUUGUGGCUCAGUGGUAGAGCACUUGCCUAGCAUGCAUAAGGCACUGGGUUCAUUCCCCGAAACCA